rnacentral:rRNA from 1 species
UACGGGGGGAGCAAGCGUUGUUCGGAUUUACUGGGCGUAAAGGGCGCGUAGGCGGUCGUGACAAGUCACUUGUGAAAUCUCCGGGCUUAACUCGGAACGGUCAAGUGAUACUGUCGGACUAGAGUACAGAAGGGGCAACUGGAAUUCUCGGUGUAGCGGUGAAAUGCGUAGAUAUCGGGAGGAACACCUGUGGCGAAGGCGGCCCCCUGGGCCGGCCCUGACACUGAGACGCGAAGGCGUGGGGAGCGAACGGG